rnacentral:lncRNA from 1 species
GGUGGAUCCGUGAUGAGCCUAAGCGGAGGAGUGAUUCUUGGGGGCUAUAGAUUAUAUUGUAUGAGGUUACAAUUAUAUGAUAAUUUGGGGGUUAUAGAUUAUAGAUUUUAAAUUUUAAAUAGGUUAUAAGGGUAUAAUAGUAAAGUUAUAAUUAUUUUUAUUAUUUUUUAAAAUAAGAGGCUAUAGUGAGAAAAUUGGGGGCUGUGUUUAAAAUUACCCCCAUAAAUAUCAACAGCCCAAAUUGAAAAACUAUUGCAGAGAAGAUUAAUGGUGAUCUUUUUUUUUUUUUAAAUUUUUUUUAUAUUAAGAAAACUUGGCCCUUAUUUGAUUUUCUUUAUAUAAGUUUCUGUUCCAACAGAUCAUGUUUGGAUGCUUUUUGUUGCCAAGAUGUGUUGUUCUAUACUUCAAUUCAUGUUGCCUUUAUUUUAC